rnacentral:rRNA from 1 species
GACCAGACUCCUACGGGAGGCAGCAGUGAGGAAUAUUGGUCAAUGGGCGGAAGCCUGAACCAGCCAAGCCGCGUGAGGGAGGAAGGUACAGAGUAUCGUAAACCUCUUUUGUCAGGGAACAAAGACUGGGACGCGUCCCCGGAUGAGUGUACCUGAAGAAAAAGCAUCGGCUAACUCCGUGCCAGCAGCCGCGGUAAUACGGAGGAUGCGAGCGUUAUCCGGAUUUAUUGGGUUUAAAGGGUGCGCAGGCGGAAGAUCAAGUCAGCGGUAAAAUGGCGGGGCUCACCCUCGUCGAGCCGUUGAAACUGGGUGCCUUGAGUGGGCGAGAAGUACGCGGAAUGCGUGGUGUAGCGGUGAAAUGCAUAGAUAUCACGCAGAACUCCGAUUGCGAAGGCAGCGUACCGGCGCCCAACUGACGCUGAAGCACGAAGGCGUGGGUAUCGAACAGGAUUAGAUACCCUUGUACU